rnacentral:lncRNA from 1 species
UCCAAUUUCAUAUCAUUUCAGCUAAUCAUUACAUAAAUAGAGAGUUGGGAUUAAAUACCUAUAAGCAACAACCAAAAACUACCAAAUAUAAGAUGAAAAGAAACUGGCUGAACUUCAGAGGAAAAGGAACACCAAUAAUAAACCAGCACAGCAACAACAAGUCAAAUAGAUCUAAGAAAUUUAAAACCAAAUCCAAUCAGCUUUUAAAAUAAGAAAUCCCAGCUAAAGAACCCAAGAAAAAUCCUCUAUUUAAAACCAUGUCUUUCAACUUGUAAGACCAAGAAUAAGAAGUUUUGAAUGUUUCUAAAAUUUCUGAAAUCCGAUCCUUUUUUUAGAAAAGAAGAUAGAACUUUUGUGCAGUAAAAAUGAUGCUGAAUCUCUGUGUGUGAGUGAGGGACCGUUUCCGUUUUCUAGAAUGCACAAAAAGUCAUCAAAAGAGGAAUAUUAUAAUCCAAAAAUUCUGAAAAUUAGAAUAGUACAAUAUCUUUUACAGUUGUCUAUCCUUUUCCUUAUUCAAUAUCAGCAUUUUAGGCUAAGGAUAGAGAUAACUGUGAAAAGUCUAGAACAUUAUGGUAUUAGCC